AUUGAACGCUGGCGGCAGGCCUAACACAUGCAAGUCGGACGGUAGCACAGAGGAGCUUGCUCCUUGGGUGACGAGUGGCGGACGGGUGAGUAAUGUCUGGGGAUCUGCCCGAUAGAGGGGGAUAACCACUGGAAACGGUGGCUAAUACCGCACAACGUCGCAAGACCAAAGAGGGGGACCUUCGGGCCUCUCACUAUCGGAUGAACCCAGAUGGGAUUAGCUAGUAGGCGGGGUAAUGGCCCACCUAGGCGACGAUCCCUAGCUGGUCUGAGAGGAGGACCAGCCACACUGGAACUGAGACACGGUCCAGACUCCUACGGGAGGCAGCAGUGGGGAAUAUCGCACAAUGGGCGCAAGCCUGAUGCAGCCAUGCCGCGUGUAUGAAGAAGGCCUUCGGGUUGUAAAGUACUUUCAGCGGGGAGGAAGGCGAUGCGGUUAAUAACCGCAUCGAUUGACGUUACCCGCAGAAGAAGCACCGGCUAACUCCGUGCCAGCCGCCGCAGUAA
rnacentral:rRNA from 1 species